rnacentral:rRNA from 1 species
ACGUAGGGUGCGAGCGUUAAUCGGAAUUACUGGGCGUAAAGCGUGCGCAGGCGGUUCGCUAAGACAGGUGUGAAAGCCCCGGGCUUAACCUGGGAAGUGCGCUGGUGACUGGCUGGCUUGAGUACGGGAGAGGGGGGUGGAAUUCCACGUGUAGCAGUGAAAUGCGUAGUGAUGUGGAGGAACACCGAUGGCGAAGGCAGCCUCCUGGGCCGAUACUGACGCUCAUGCACGAAAGCGUGGGGAGCAAACAG